GUGCGCGUGGUGUUGAUUGGCUGGAGAGCUAGGUCAUCCUGAGCCUCUUCGUCGUUCUCCACGUCACCGUUGACUGGAGUCGUUACUAAAGAGACAAAUAAGGGUUCAAAAUGUACAUUGAGAGAACCUUGGCCCUAAGGGAAGCCCAUUGGACAGCCGCACAUUAACUCUAUGCGCAUCUGAUGACAUAACCCCCACUGUAUAGAGAAAAUACAAGCAAAAUAACGUCGCUAAACAUACGUUGAUCCUUCUUCUGUUGUCUCGCCCUCCUCCCCUUGCAGUAGAUCAUCAGGCCCACGACCAGCACGAUAUAGGCGGCGGCACAACCCACGGCGAUGCCGAUAGCACGGCCCAUGGACGCGGUGGAGCUUAGGGCUUCCGCAGGGCUGUUCCGCACCACCUGGAGACAGCAAGAAGAGAAUGAGUCAAAUGUAUACAACAACUGCUCUAAUUCUAUCCCAUCUAUAACAACAUAGUAAGAGAAUGAGUCAAAUGUAUACAACAACUGCUCUAAUUCUAUCCCAUCUAUAACAGCAUAGUAAGAGAAUGAGUCAAAUGUAUACAACAACUGCUCUAAUUCUAUCCCAUCUAUAACAACAUAGUAAGAGAAUGAGUCAAAUGUAUACAACAACUGCUCUAAUUCUAUCCCAUCUAUAACAACAUAGUAAGAGAAUUUGUCAAAUGUAUACAACAACUGCUCUAAUUCUAUCCCAUCUAUAACAACAUAGUAAGAGAAUGAGUCAAAUGUAUACAACAACUGCUCUAAUUCUAUCCCAUCUAUAACAGCAUAGUAAGAGAAUGAGUCAAAUGUAUACAACAACUGCUCUAAUUCUAUCCCAUCUAUAACAACAUAGUAAGAGAAUGAGUCAAAUGUAUACAACAACUGCUCUAAUUCUAUCCCAUCUAUAACAGCAUAGUAAGAGAAUGAGUCAAAUGUAUACAACAACUGCUCUAAUUCUAUCUCAUCUAUGACGACAUAGUAAGAAGAGAAUGAGUCAAAUGUAUACAACAACUGCUCUAAUUCUAUCCCAUCUAUAACAGCAUAGUAAGAGAAUGAGUCAAAUGUAUACAACAACUGCUCUAAUUCUAUCCCAUCUAUGACGACAUAGUAAGAAGAGAAUGAGUCAAAUGUAUACAACAACUGCUCUAAUUCUAUCCCAUCUAUAACAGCAUAGUAAGAGAAUGAGUCAAAUGUAUACAACAACUGCUCUAAUUCUAUCCCAUCUAUAACAGCAUAGUAAGAGAAUGAGUCAAAUGUAUACAACAACUGCUCUAAUUCUAUCCCAUCUAUAACAGCAUAGUAAGAGAAUGAGUCAAAUGUAUACAACAACUGCUCUAAUUCUAUCCCAUCUAUAACAACAUAGUAAGAAGAGAAUUUGUCAAAUGUAUACAACAACUGCUCUAAUUCUAUCCCAUCUAUAACAGCAUAGUAAGAGAAUGAGUCAAAUGUAUACAAUAACUGCUCUAAUUCUAUCCCAUCUAUAACAGCAUAGUAAGAGAAUGAGUCAAAUGUAUACAACAACUGCUCUAAUUCUAUCCCAUCUAUAACAACAUAGUAAGAAGAGAAUUUGUCAAAUGUAUACAACAACUGCUCUAAUUCUAUCCCAUCUAUAACAGCAUAGUAAGAGAAUGAGUCAAAUGUAUACAACAACUGCUCUAAUUCUAUCCCAUCUAUAACAGCAUAGUAAGAGAAUGAGUCAAAUGUAUACAACAACUGCUCUAAUUCUAUCCCAUCUAUAACAACAUAGUAAGAGAAUUUGUCAAAUGUA